UGGCGACCGGCGCACGGGUGAGUAACACGUAUCCAACCUGCCGUCUACUCUUGGACAGCCUUCUGAAAGGAAGAUUUAAUACAAGAUGGCAUCAUGAGUCCGCAUGUUCACAUGAUUAAAGGUAUUCCGGUAGACGAUGGGGAUGCGUUCCAUUAGAUAGUAGGCGGGGUAACGGCCCACCAAGGCGACGAUCAGUAGGGGUUCUGAGAGGAAGGUCCCCCACAUUGGAACUGAGACACGGUCCAAACUCCUACGGGAGGCAGCAGUGAGGAAUAUUGGUCAAUGGACGAGAGUCUGAACCAGCCAAGUAGCGUGCAGGAAGACGGCCCUAUGGGUUGUAAACUUCUUUUAUAAAGGAAUAAAGUCGGGUAUGGAUACCCGUUUGCAUGUACUUUAUGAAUAAGGAUCGGCUAACUCCGUG
rnacentral:rRNA from 1 species